rnacentral:lncRNA from 1 species
CAUCCAACCGUAAGUCCGUGCUUAGGCCACGGGACUGCCCAUCAGCCUUUCUUGUUGGAGAGCGAUUAAUCUCUUGAACUACUUUUCUUCAGAACCGGCCUUUUCAAUAAAUAAAUUUGACUGAGCUAGAGAAUUGUCAUCUUGGUACUUGAUAGCCAUGGGGAUGCUGUCAGGGUCUAUUUCCUUUCCAGUGCUGGGUGGCUCAGCAGCUGCGGAUGCUGGUCCUGAUGCUGCAGUCACACGCUGCACUUCACUUGGUUGUACUGCCUUUUUGACGUCUUUACUUGAUCUGAAUGUCUGCUGAACAAAUGAAUCACUUUCAAUUGCUUCAAUUUUUGGUCUUCUUCUUUUCUUCUCUUUGCUUCUUCCUCACUCCUUUCUUUGGCUAUUAAUGCUUCAUCAGCUUUUGCAGCAGCUUCAAGGACCAAUUGUAGUCUGGCUUUGGCCUGCUCAGCUGGAGGCAGAUGUUCUAAUGCAGCUUUGAUGUUUCCAGAAUCCCUGCGUUUGAUGCUGUGCACUUCUUUGUCUUUGCCUUUAUCCUUCUUUUACGAUUUCUUCUGUGACUGGAUCUUUCACUGCUUCUACAAUGUGAGCGUGGAUGAGGCCUUGACCUGGACCUUCUUGUUCUGCUUUUUGACCGAGACCUAUGAACUCUAUAGGGUUUCCCUCGGCCCCUGGAAUGACUGCGACUUCUUUUCCUUCUGGAGCCAUAAGAAGAGCUGCUGCUUGAUCUGAGCCUGCGUCUCCUCUCAUAAGAAUGUGAGCGAGGCUGGCGGUCUCUAGACCAGGAUCUUGAGUUGGACCUCGGCCUCCUC